AUUGAACGCUGGCGGCAGGCCUAACACAUGCAAGUCGAACGAGUGGCGGACGGGUGAGUAAUGUCUGGGAAUCUGCCUGAUGGAGGGGGAUAACUACUGGAAACGGUAGCUAAUCCCGCAUACCAUCAGAUGUGCCCAGAUGGGAUUAGCUGGUUGGUGGGGGAACGUCUCACCAAGGCGACGCUCCCUAGCUGGUCUGAGAGGAUGACCAGCCACACUGGAACGGAGACAAGGUCCAGACUCCUACGGGAGGAAGCAGUGGGGAAUAUGGCACAAUGGGGGCAAGCCUGAUGCAGCCAUGCCGCGUGUAUGAAGAAGGCCGUCGGGUUGUAAAGUACUUUCAGCGGGGAGGCGUUACCCGCAGAAGAAGCACCGGCUAACUCCGUGCCAGCAGCCGCGGUAAUUC
rnacentral:rRNA from 1 species